ACUCAAAGGAAUUGACGGGGGCUCACACAAGCGGUGGAGCAUGUGGCUUAAUUCGAGGCUACGCGAAGAACCUUAUCCUGGACUUGACAUGUGCGAAAGCGCUAGGUAGUAGAAGCCAGAAAUGGUAACGAACGGCCCGAAAGGGUUGGAGCCUAGUACAGGUGCUGCAUGGCUGUCGUCAGCUCGUGUCGUGAGAUGUCGGGUUAAGUCCCAUAACGAGCGAAACCCUUACCCUUAGUUGCAACCGCAAGGGCACUCUAGGGGGACUGCCGGUGUCAAACCGGAGGAAGGCGGGGAUGACGUCAAGUCCUCAUGGCCUUUAUGUCCAGGGCUGCACACGUGCUACAAUGGCGUGAACAAAGCGAAGCGACUGUGCGAACAGAAGCCAAUCGCAAAAAACACGCCCCAGUUCAGAUCGUAGGCUGCAACUCGCCUACGUGAAGCCGGAAUCGCUAGUAAUCGCGGGUCAGCAACACCGCGGUGAAUGUGUUCCUGAGCCUUGCACACACCGCCCGU
rnacentral:rRNA from 1 species